UACGUAGUCCCUAAGUGGUUCCCACUUGUAUUGGGCCUAAAACACCUGUAGCCGGUAGCGUAAGUCUUUGGUGAAAUCAAUUCGCUCAACGAAUUGAAUUGCUAAAGAUACUGCGUUGCUAGAAGAAGUAAGACGUUAGGGGAAUUUUCGGGGUAACGGUGAAAUGUUAUGAUCCUGAAAAGACCUCCAGUAGCGAAGGCGCCUAACGAGGACUAUCUUGACGGUGAGAGAUGAAAGCUGGGGGAGCGACCUG
rnacentral:rRNA from 1 species